ensembl:lncRNA
CAAUUUCCAUAAGGUGAAUACAGAAAGGAACUACAAGCAUUGGAAAUGAAUGGGGGAGUUUAAUUCAGCCGCGUUUCACUCCCACUGAGGAGGCAUACAGAUGGCUGCACAGAACUCAGCAAAAACAGAGCCAGGAGUCAGGGAGAGGGAGACUUCAACUGGGGUUUCGAGUGGAGUUGCUCAUUUAUUUCCCCCUGUAUCAGUCUGCCUCCUGGGAUAUCGCAUGGACAGGUACAGGCAAACAGUUCCAAAUAAGGGAAUGCAUGCUGUGCGAGUGUAAUGCUCUGCUUUCCUUAGUGGCAUGUUUUCAGCAAGUUUGCCAUGUGCUACAGCUGGCCUAGGCAGGAUUUUGCAAAAGGAAAGAAGAAUAUUCACACUAAGGUCCCUGAAGCCACACUUCUGCAAACUAGCAGCUACCAAAAAUACGAAAGCUGAGAUUAGAAUUCAGUAAUGCCUGGCUUUAAUUCGCUGUGAUUGAACUACUAUACCUGUGGAGGGAAUGGAAAAGAAGAUGGAUAGCAGUGGAAACAAUUAGGAAAAAAAGGUCUCCCCACUGAAGGAGUCUUUCCCCAGAAGUGGUUCUGCAGGUAUAAGCAAAAAAUCCUUUGCUCAAGCCUCUCUUUUGUGUAUUCAAACACCAUUUCAG